rnacentral:tRNA from 1 species
GGAGGGGUGGCAGAGCGGUUGAAUGCACCGGUCUUGAAAACCGGCGUACUCGCGAGGGUACCGAGGGUUCGAAUCCCUCCUCCUCCGCAA